UGCCAUUUUCCCAUCUUAGGCUCCAGAAGCAGAAUCAAGUGGGAUGUCUUGGAAGAAAAACAAACAAAAGGCCCACUAGGUGGAGUGAAAUGGAUCAGGAGCAAUUAUGUUCAAUUUCACCUUUAAGUUUUCUCAAAAGGAGGAGCAUUAAGAAUCAGCCACCUUAGUACAUACUUAAAGAUUUACUGAAACCUGAUCCUGUCCCCGCUGAUGAAACAUCAGAGGAAUGGGAUCCUGUAGGUGAAGAUCAUCAGCUUAUAAAAUCCUGUUGCCAUCAAUGGGGGUAGCAGGAAAAUGAUGAAGAUUGGUUAAGGGGCCAGUGGACUCAGCAUUGAAAUGAAUCAUGGACUUGAAGCCAAAAGACUCAGUUUGUGUCCCAGCUCUCUCAAGCAAAGCCCCCAAGUCCCAGUUUCCUCAUCUAUAAAAAAUAAUAAAAAUACUUAAUGGACAAA
rnacentral:lncRNA from 10 species